CCUCAGGCCUUUAUUUACCCUGAAACAUAGGCAGCAUGACAGUCAUUUACACUAAACAAAAGAAAGAAAGAAAGAAAGAAAGACAGAAAGAAAGAAAGACAGAAAGAAAGAAAGACAGACAGAAAGAAAGAAAGAAAGACAGAAAGAAAGAAAGAAACCCAAGUGGAAUUUAACAUCUUGUGUAUCAGUGUAUCAGUGGUUGGAGAUAUUACAGAGUGGAUCAGGAGCUUUUUUGAGUCAAGAGAGCAAGCUGUGGGGGAUAAGCAAAGACGAAGGGAGACAAAAGAGAAAGGUCUCUGAGGGUCAAAGUGAAAAUCAAUGGCAAAUUAAGUAUCUGCAUUGUGCUGGAGAAGUGAGGGUUUCACACAUGGCUGGCCUGGAUAGAUAGUCAAUUCACUGGAAGACUGGACUGAUACGCUGGCCACUUAAUGGGUCUAUAAGCACAUCACAAACUGGAUUAUCAAACAGAUGGAAGCAUGGUAUAUGCCGUAGUGAAUAUAUUAAUGAUGUACUGUGAAUGAUGAAGAAUAUAUUAUCCAUGCAGUGACAUUUGUGCUGAUUAUUUUUGAAUUCCCGUUCUUUUAUUCUGUGCUAUGGUGCAAUCUCUUGAUGCCUUACUUGAAUAAUAGAUCAUAACGUUGGAGACUGGAGACACAGGAUAUGACUUUGCGUUUGCACUGACAUUUAUUUCGGCAACUGCAGAACAUUCAGACAACUUGACGAUAUGGAGAAUUUGUACUGAAAUAAGCCACUAAUGUGUGACCAUACUCGGAAAACACCAAGGAGCACUGGAAGCUCCCAGAGCAGGAAUAAAUUACUUUACUUUCCACAUGACAGUCAUUAAAACAGAUUUUUCCACCAAGGACUCCAGACGCCAUUCAAUAUGCUGUUCAAGUUUCACAUUGACAGCUAAAUGUAGUAUUUACCAAGGAAAUUGCAAAUCCUUACAUAAGUCAAAAUAUAGCAUGUGGCACACAAAGUGGCUGCACUCAUUGACCCAUAUAUUUAUUGUUUUCUUCCUCACACUAAUGUUUCAAAACACCUUUUUUUCUGUGCAAUGUGACACAGACGUCACACUGAAUAUUUGAAUAUUCAAAUAAAACAGUGU